AAGACUAUACUUUCAGGGAUCAUUUCUAUAGUAUGUUACUAGAUUUUCCCCUUCAGAGCUCAGUCUUAACAAGAUUUUUUUUUGU
rnacentral:sRNA from 1 species